ACGGGGGGGGCGAGCGUUGUCCGAAGUUACUGGGCGUAAAGGGCGCGUAGGCGGGGUGCCAAGUCCGCUGUGAAAGCCUGGAGCUUAACUCCAGCGGGUCGGUGGAUACUGGCACUCUUGAAGGCGUUAGGGGAAGAUGGAAUUACCCGUGGAGCGGUGAAAUGCGUAGAGAUGGGUAGGAACACCGGUGGCGAAGGCGGUCUUCUGGGACGUCCUUGACGCUGAGGCGCGAAAGCUGGGGGAGCGAACGGGAUUAGAUACCCCGGUAGUCCCAGCCGUAAACGAUGGAUACUAGAUGUCGCGGGUAUCGACCCCUGCGGUGUCGUCGCAAACGCAGUAAGUAUCCCGCCUGGGGAGUACGGCCGCAAGGUUG
rnacentral:rRNA from 1 species